UACGGAGGGUGCAAGCGUUGCUCGGAAUUAUUGGGCGUAAAGGGUAGGUAGGUGGUCUUAUUUGUCUGGGGUGAAAGCCUUGAGCUUAACUCAAGAAGUGCCCCAGAAACGGUAAGACUAGGGUCCUGGAGAGGGUCGUGGAAUUCCCGGUGUAGCGGUGAAAUGCGUAGAGAUCGGGAGGAACACCAGAGGCGAAGGCGGCGACCUGGACAGGCACUGACACUCAACUACGAAAGCGUGGGGAGCAAACAGG
rnacentral:rRNA from 1 species